rnacentral:rRNA from 1 species
CCUACGGGCGGCAGCAGUGGGGAAUAUUGGACAAUGGGCGAAAGCCUGAUCCAGCCAUGCCGCGUGUGUGAAGAAGGCCUUCGGGUUGUAAAGCACUUUCAGUGGGGAAGAAAGCCUUGGGGCUAAUACCCUCGAGGAAGGACAUCACCCACAGAAGAAGCACCGGCUAACUCCGUGCCAGCAGCCGCGGUAAUACGGAGGGUGCGAGCGUUAAUCGGAAUUACUGGGCGUAAAGCGCGCGUAGGCGGUCUGAUAAGCCGGUUGUGAAAGCCCCGGGCUCAACCUGGGAACGGCAUCCGGAACUGUCAGGAGAGAGUGCAGGGGAGGAAGGUAGAAUUCCCGGUGAAGCGGUGAAAUGCGUAGCGACCGGGAGGAGUACAAGUGGCGAAGGAGGCCUUGUGGACUGACACUGGCGCUGAGGUGCGAAAGCGUGGGUAGCAAACAGGAUUAGAUACCCUUGUAGUC